rnacentral:rRNA from 1 species
AUUGAACGCUGGCGGCAGGCUUAACACAUGCAAGUCGAACGAGUGGCGGACGGGUGAGUAAUGCUUGGGAAUCUAGCUUAUGGAGGGGGAUAACUACGGGAAACUGUAGCUAAUACCGCAUACCAUCAGAUGUGCCCAGAUGGGAUUAGCUAGUGGGUGGGGUAAUGGCUCACCUAGGCGACGAUCCCUAGCUGGUCUGAGAGGAUGACCGGCAAAACUGGAACUGAGACACGGGCCAAACUCCAACGGGAGGCAGAAGUGGGGAAUAUUGGACAAUGGGCGAAAGCCUGAAGCAGCAAUGCCGCGUGUGUGAAGAAGGCGUUCGGGUUGUAAAGCACUUUCGGCGAGGAGGCGUUACUCAAAGAAGAAGCAACGGCUAACUACGUGCCAGCAGCCGCGGUAAUAC